UUGAACGCUGGCGGCAUGCCUUACACAUGCAAGUCGAACGGUAACGGGCCUUCGGGUGCCGCCGAGUGGCGAACGGGUGAGUAAUACAUCGGAACGUGCCCGAUCGUGGGGGAUAACGAGGCGAAAGCUUUGCUAAUACCGCAUACGAUCUACGGAUGAAAGCAGGGGACCGCAAGGCCUUGCGCGGACGGAGCGGCCGAUGGCAGAUUAGGUAGUUGGCGGGAUAAAAGCUUACCAAGCCGACGAUCUGUAGCUGGUCUGAGAGGAUGAUCAGCCACACUGGGACUGAGACACGGCCCAGACUCCUACGGGAGGCAGCAGUGGGGAAUUUUGGACAAUGGGCGCAAGCCUGAUCCAGCCAUGCCGCGUGCAGGAUGAAGGCCUUCGGGUUGUAAACUGCUUUUGUACGGAACGAAAAGCCUUCUUUUAAUACAGGAGGGUCAUGACGGUACCGUAAGAAUAAGCACCGGCUAACUACGUG
rnacentral:rRNA from 1 species